rnacentral:rRNA from 1 species
CCUGAUGACCAUAGCGAGUCGGAACCACCUGACACCAUCCCGAACUCAGAAGUGAAACGGCUCAGCGCCGAUGGUAGUGCGGAGUUAUCCGUGUGAGAGUAGGACAUUGUCAGGC